GGAAAUGUAGCUCAGUGGUAGAGCACUUGCCUAGCAUGCACAAGGCCCUGGGUUCCAUAUCCA
rnacentral:tRNA from 1 species